rnacentral:rRNA from 1 species
UUCGUAGGUGGCCAACUAAGUCAGACGUGAAAUCCCUCAGCUUAACUGGGGAACUGCGUCUGAUACUGGUUGGCUUGAGUGCAGGAGAGGAACGCGGAAUUCCAGGUGUAGCGGUGAAAUGCGUAGAUAUCUGGAGGAACACCGGUGGCGAAGGCGGCGUUCUGGACUGCAACUGACACUGAGGAACGAAAGCCAGGGGAGCAAACG